AAACCCAAGUUAGAUGGGCCCACUAUUAUGAGGCAUGCCUCAGGCGCAAGGUGCACUAGGUGUAGAUGGCGUCGCCUGACGGAAGGAGAGGCGCGGCACCUCACCAAGGCGCGAGGCGUAGAAAGGCGCGCCCUAUGGAGUCUAGGCACAGGGCAAAAAAAAGUUAGGGUUUCUUUUAGAAGUCAAUAACCAGCAAUCAUCCACCAAAGAAGAAGAAGAAGAAG
rnacentral:misc_RNA from 1 species